UUCACAUGUGAGCAUGUUGCUCUUGCACCGCUAAAAGAAACGUAUUGCUCUUGCUUCCCUACAAAUAAAAUAUGUUACUCUUGCCCGAUCCCCUUUCUCCUUUCCUUCUUCUCUCCGCUCGCUCAUUCAAAAAUUCCUAUGACCGGAUGAGAUCCGAUGGGUGAUGUGGGCUUGGAUCUUGUCUUCCGCUGCCAGCUUGAAUCCAUCUUGAGCGUGAGGAUGCGACAGCGUUGUCUUUCCCUAGCGCGCGAGCCGGACGCAUAGUCGUUGUUCCCAGUGGAGGCAGCCCGACACAUCGUCGUCAUCCUCCACAGCGGCUGCUUUGUUCGACCUACAGUAGGUCAGGUGGGAACCUUAACAUCUUGACUCUUCUGCAAGGAUAGGGGGAUGUGGAACCUCGAGUGUGCUCCCUAUAGAAGCAGCGCUGCAAUAUGCGAUGACACCACUGCUAGUACUAUCUUUCCUUCGGAACACAACUUUGUUGUGAUUGCCUCAGUAGGUGGAAAGGCAACCUUUCGAUGCAGGGAUGUCAAAAGUGUAUUUUGAACUGAAAUAUUCUUCAACUCGCGUCAUUGCCUGAUAUGUACUUACUGGAGGUGGUCGUCUGAUUCCUCGAUGGAGCCGAUGACAAUUGAGGAGAGUCGACAAAGGAGAUUGGGGAUGACAAUCGAGGAGAGUCAAUAUAGGAGUUUGUGGUGCUAGCAACCGUUGGAGGAAGACGAUGUUGAUAGGGGGCUCUUAAGUCGAGAGGAAAGCUAAUUAAAAGAUAAAAAGAAGGUACUCCAAGACCCUGGGGAAUGUGAAAAGGAAUUCGAGCAUCCAUCGGCAUGUCCUUCUUUUCUGGUUAUACGGCGUACUACCUGUGUAACUAAAUAUAAAAUGUUUUUGCAGUUCAAAUUUGAACUCCAAAAACAUCUUAUAUUUAGUUAUGGAGGUAGUACAAUAGUGCACGCCGUCAUGUGCGUUGUCGACUCAGGUCUAUGUCUGCACUAAUUACCAUAGACCAGUCUUCACGGUGAGCUAAUAAGCCAUGAAGCCAUCUAAAUAAAGCUAAUCCAACAAUUUACCCCUAGCUUCCAGCUGCCCACUAAUCGAUUCUUGUACAAUGUCUCUGAAUUCUUACUGCCCAAUGGGUGACAUUCUCUUCUACAGUGGACAUGCAGUGCUAUCCA